UACGUAGGGUGCAAGCGUUGUCCGGAAUUAUUGGGCGUAAAGAGCGUGUAGGCGGCCCGAUUAGUCCGCUGUGAAAGUCCAGGGCUCAACCCUGGAAUGCCGGUGGAUACUGUCGGGCUAGAGUCCGGAAGGGGCGAGUGGAAUUCCUGGUGUAGCGGUGAAAUGCGCAGAUAUCAGGAGGAACACCAAUGGCGAAGGCAGCUCGCUGGGACGUGACUGACGCUGAGACGCGAAAGCAUGGGGAGCAAACAGG
rnacentral:rRNA from 1 species